AGUCAUGUACGUGGCGCUUCUCCCAAAGUGACCACGCAACUCGUGUUUAUGAUCGAAAAUCAACUAUUGCAAAGUGAGUGAAAUCGUCUGGAUUCGAUAUUGAAUUGGAAAGAUGAAUACUCGAAAAUUGAGAUCGUCGAAGAAACUGUUAUUCAAUCGACAAGAGCUGAUAUAUAUGCACAUGCAUAAACGAAGACACAAGAGUUCAACCUCUGAUAAAACUAAUGAACUCCGAUUAAAAAUUCACCUAUAAAUUACAAGAAAGAAGAAGUUAAAAAUUGAUAGUAAUAGUAAACUAGAGGGUCGGGAAAAGGGCGAAUAGGAAGUUGCAAAUUGUUCACUGGCCAACGGAAGCCAGGAACGGUUCCAGUGGGAGCUUUCAACGGGAUACAGUUUCAACAAGACAGGAGCUACGUCAGAAGGCUACAGAGGAUGACAGAAACCGACCGUCAGUCGAAUCAAUAGCUUCGACACGGUUAUCGAGUUCCCCGUCCAGCUAUUGGAGGUGUCUGGCUGAUCGUAAUACGUGUUAGAUCCGACAACGAUCGAUCGCGUUGUUUCGACGGUCCCCCACCACCCCCCUCAAUUGGCUUCGCGAUUCCAAAGCCUCGUCCAGGCUGCCAGGACGCGAUAGGAAUCGCGAGUCGAACAACAUUUCGCGCGAACCUUCGACCUCCUGUGGGUUGUCCCACAUUGGUCUUUUAUCAUUUUAAUAUUCCACUUUUGUCAAAAUAUUCUUUUAUCGAUCAAAUAAAAAAUACAUUUGUAAACUGCCACUUUUACGCGGAAUAUUUCCUGUCACGGUAUAAAGCUUGACAGC